rnacentral:rRNA from 1 species
GAUGAACGCUGGCGGCGUGCCUAAUAUAUGCAAGUCGAGCGAACAGAUGAGGAGCUUGCUCCUCUGACGUUAGCGGCGGACGGGUGAGUAACACGUGGAUAACCUACCUAUAAGACUGGGAUAACUUCGGGAAACCGGAGCUAAUCCCGGAUAAUAUAUUGAACCGCAUGGUUCAAUAGUGAAAGACGGUUUUGCUGUCACUUAUAGAUGGAUCCGCGCCGCAUUAGCUAGUUGGUAAGGUAACGGCUUACCAAGGCAACGAUGCGUAGCCGACCUGAGAGGGUGUUCGGCCACACUGGAACUGAGAAACGGUCCAGACUCCUACGGGAGGCAGCAGUAGGGAAUCUACCGCAAUGGGCGAAAGCCUGACGGAGCAACGCCGCGUGAGUGAUGAAGGUCUUCGGAUCGUAAAACUCUGUUAUUAGGGAAGAACAAAUGUGUAAGUAACUAUGCACGUCUUGACGGUACCUAAUCAGAAAGCCACGGCUAACUACGUG